rnacentral:rRNA from 1 species
AUUGAACGCUGGCGGCAGGCCUAACACAUGCAAGUCGAGCGGGGUUUUCGGACCUAGCGGCGGACGGGUGAGUAAUGCGUAGGAAGCUACCCGAUAGAGGGGGAUACCAGUUGGAAACGACUGUUAAUACCGCAUAAUGUCUACGGACCAAAGUGUGGGACCUUCGGGCCACAUGCUAUCGGAUGCGCCUACGUGGGAUUAGCUAGUUGGUGAGGUAAUGGCUCACCAAGGCGACGAUCCCUAGCUGGUUUGAGAGGAUGAUCAGCCACACUGGAACUGAGACACGGUCCAGACUCCUACGGGAGGCAGCAGUGGGGAAUAUUGGACAAUGGGCGCAAGCCUGAUCCAGCCAUGCCGCGUGUGUCAAGAAGGCCUUCGGGUUGUAAAGCACUUUCAGUAGGGAGGAAGCGUUGUGUGUUAAUAGUACACAGCGUUGACGUUACCUACAGAAGAAGCACCGGCUAACUCUGUGCCAGCCGCCGCGGUAAGAC